GAUCGGUUAGCUCAGUGGUAGAGCCCCAGCAUAUAUAGCCGGAGGUCAUUGGUUCAAUUCCACUCCUGGUCA